UCGACUUGAUUCCAAAAGCAAUUUUUCUCACCUUGACGUCGUCUAUAACUUCUCAGAAGACAUCGGAGUGAAAAUCGAACUGUGGAGGGCGCUGUAAGGCCGAGAAGCUGCACAGCUCGAGCUGGAAAUCGCCUCCCUUCACCGGCUGAUAUUUUCCUUUUCCGGCCACCCCCAGCGAUAAACCUUAGACUAUUGGAAGCGCCUUGGGAUGUAGAUGAUGCUCCCGGAAGCUUUUGCUGAGAUUUGAAGCAUGGAGGAAGAAUCGACGGUUUGCAGUUUGAGGUUACUAUUCAUGAUUCGGGUUCAACCUUCCCCUUAAUUGUUGAGGGCGACGUACCGAGCUCUUGCUCGACGAAGGAACUCGUACGCGUGAUCGUCGGAAUAGUACUGCCCUUCGGUUUCAAAUGCCCAGUUUGCAGGCUAGGUUAAUUGAGGUCGGGCGUACAUGGAGUCGAGGCAUAGCCAACAGCAUUGCUUCCGCGUACUCAAUUCAAAUUAUGUUUUCGUUUUUACCUAGUGGGUUAGUAUCGCUCUGAUAAUCUGUGGGAUCAAUAUUGUAUUGGGGUUGAGACAACUAUAUGUGAAAUUGGAGUUGUGAUUUGGAGAGCAGGUGGCUCCAGGAGAAUAAGGAUGGAUGAUUUAGAAGUGUAAAUGUUUUCCUACAGGUUUUUGGGUAGCCUACUUUUAGGGGAAGUUCUGCCAAAUUUUUGGUAGAAUUUCUUCUAAAGUGGGCCCUGCAGGGCCACUUCGGGCUUCAGGUUGAAAUCCGGGGCGGGUCCUGUCAUAUUAUGCUUGAAAUUGGUUUGUGGUUACGAUGGAUAUCAAUGAAGAUUUAGGUACAAAACAUCAUCUGAGUAUACACUAUGAACUGUGGUAGUUUUGAUUAUUUUGGGUGUCCAGAGUAAUUUCAGAGAAGUUAUGAUUGAUUGAUUCUAAUUUGGAUUGAGGAUUUGAUACAAGGAAUUAAGGUAUGUUGCAAUCCCAUAAGCAGAAGGAUAAAGAUUUCAGAAUGCGAGUCGCAUUGUUAUUAGCUUUGAGCAACAUUGGAAUUGUAACUUAUAUUCUCGUAGGGUCUCCCAGGGAACAUUCUCUGCUAAAAUGUUGAAUAGAAUUAUAAUUGAAGUUGGUGAACUGUUUGACUUUGGUUAAAUUAAAUCUUGAAUGUUAUCGCUUUGUGGGCUAAUAAAGCUGUUUGAUUUUGGUGAUCGAGGAUAA
rnacentral:lncRNA from 1 species